CCUACGGGAGGCAGCAGUGGGGAAUAUUGGACAAUGGGCGCAAGCCUGAUCCAGCCAUGCCGCGUGAGUGACGAAGGCCUUAGGGUUGUAAAGCUCUUUUGGCGGGGACGAUAAUGACGGUACCCGCAGAAUAAGCCCCGGCUAACUUCGUGCCAGCAGCCGCGGUAAUACGAAGGGGGCUAGCGUUGUUCGGAAUUACUGGGCGUAAAGCGCACGUAGGCUGACUGGUCAGUUGGGGGUGAAAUCCCGGGGCUCAACCUCGGAACUGCCUUCAAUACUGCCAGUCUUGAGUCCGAGAGAGGUGAGUGGAAUUCCUAGUGUAGAGGUGAAAUUCGUAGAUAUUAGGAAGAACACCAGUGGCGAAGGCGGCUCACUGGCUCGGUACUGACGCUGAGGUGCGAAAGCGUGGGGAGCAAAUAGGAUUAGAUACCCUGGUAGUCCACGCCGUAAACGAUGAAUGCUAGCCGUCGGGAAGCUUGCUUUUCGGUGGCGCAGCUAACGCAUUAAGCAUUCCGCCUGGGGAGUACGGCCGCAAGGUUAAAACUCAAAGGAAUUGACGG
rnacentral:rRNA from 1 species